GCUACAGAAUCUACUACAAAAGCUUCUGGGACCAGCACAGUCCAGAUUUUGUCUACAGAAAAACUAGAAUAUUCAGCUAAUAUACCCGUUAUAGUAGGAAGUGUUACUGGGUGUUUAAUUCUGGUGAUAUUAUUGGUUAUAAUUAUUCUGGUUAUAAUAAAGAGAAGAACAGUUAGUCGUCUUAUUGGUAAACAUUUAGAAGACAGUGCUAGCGUGUCAAACCCAAGAUAUGAAACAACUGGCGAAAGUUACAAUCAUGUUACAUUCUCGAAUGACGACCCGCCAUCUACACGAGGUAUUGAGGCUGACGAUUAUAAUCAUUUACAUGAAGUCAGGAACAGCAACUCUACGGACAACGCUAAGAACUAUAACCAUCUUAGAAUUCCGACUACUAAAGAUAAUCAGUUUCAUGACCACUACAACCAUCUCGGUGACGUAACGAAGAACAACCAACAAGGUAACGUAGGAGAGGUGCCCCACACUGACUACCACCAUCUCGGCGAUGUCAAGACAGAGGAGAUCCAAGGUGACUACAAUCAUCUGAAAUCGGAAAGGGAGCAAAUGCACGUUGAUUACAACCACAAGCAGAUAAUUGAUGACUACAACCAUAUUGGCGAAUUAAAGGAGCGGAAGAUGAAUGAUGACUACAACCAUAUUGGCGAAGUAAAAGAGGAGAAGAUCCACGGUGACUACAACCAUAUUGGAGUUGAAAACUAUCCAAUUAAGGUUUCCAAUGGUGGCAUUGAUAGAGAAAUAAUACGUAAAGAAAAUUAUAAACUGAAUUCUAAUAUUUCUAACUACGAGAACGUUUCUCUUUAAACAUACAGGACGUAUGAUUAAGUAAUAAUUAAACUAACUCUGUUCAGUAAGUCAGUAUUCAACAUUAAAUUUUUAUACACCAGCAUGUUGAAUGUGGACUUGUAUUGUCGGUUUCCGCCCGUCAAGACUAUACCCACUCGAUAGAGUUCCUAAAUAAGUCUCCCCCAAAAUGUGUUUAUUGUUCUCCAAAGGUGGCUUAGUCGAGUUUCCAAAUAUGUUUAGGAUUAGUUAAUCUUGAAUAAAGAUAAUCCCUAUCCAGUGUUGUAAAACAACCGUGUUUUACACUGUCUGCAAACUGGCACGAAAAAACAAAAGGUAGCAAUCUCCCUCGCUUUCGUUUUUAGUUAUUGACUUUAUUUUUAUUUUUAAUGAUUCUUAACUUUAUAAGUUUUGUUUUAUUUAUAACCUUGUUUUAUUAACUAUACGUUUUUAAUUAGAUAUUUUUGUUUAAGAGGUGAGCCGAUAUUGUAGAAUAUAAUAAGGGGUUUGAUAUUUUUAUUUUCCUUAGAAUUACCCCUUUUACGUUUCUGUCUCAUUUCACCUAUUUCCACGUGGUCUUAAGUCUUUACAUUUGGUUAAUAAUUGUAUAAGCUACACUAUAUACCACUAAUAUGCAGAGAUAACAUGACAUAUUAAUUUCAUAUAUUUUAUUAACUUCAUGCAACAGUUUCCUUGAAGUUUAAUGUAUUUUCUACAAGUUAUAUCAUAAAACUAUCACAAUGAUGGAAGAAAUGGAAAUUUAUAUAUAUUUGAUAAUUGAUUAAACAUUGAAAUUACAAUGUCAGCAAAUAUUUUAUAUUAAUAUAUUCAAAACUUAUCUGUGAAAACAGUUUAAACUUGGUGGUAUGAUAUUCAAUGCUAGAAAGAUGAUCACGUAAUGGGGAGAUAACUCCAAUGUUGCUAAAGAAGAUUCUGUCUAUGAAAAUGUUAAAAGUUUCCCUUUCAGUUGAUCACAGAUUCAACUAACGAAAUUCCAAGUGUCCAUAAAUGUUAACUUUAGUGGCUGUUUGGUAAAUAUAAUGCCAUUUUGUAUUAUUGUUUUCUAUAAACAUCUACCACAAAAUAGACGGUUGAAAUAAUAAUCAAUUCCUCAGUAAAAUAUGUCGUUAGUAUAAAUAGUACAUCUUAUUUGUAUUACUGUGGUAUAUACACAAAAUAUAAAAUCACAAGAAA